AGGAAUGUAACAAAUACUAUUGAUAAUUAUUCUUCUUCAAUAUUCUUAAGACCUGCUGAUGCCAAAGAAGUUUUUAAAAUCAUAAUGUCACUUAAAAAUAGUAGGAGCUCUGGGUAUGAUGAUAUUACAACAUAUAUUCUUAAGUUGAUUGCCCCAUGGAUAUGUCAGCCUAUAACUCAUAUUAUAAACCUUUCGUUUGAUCAAGCGGUUUUUCCCGAGCAGUUGAAGCUGUCCGUGGUGAAGCCCUUAUUUAAAAAAGGAGACCGUAAGGAUCCCAAUAACUAUAGGCCCAUAACAAUUGUUCCAGUUAUUUCCAAAAUAAUUGAGAAAGCAAUGUGUGAAAGGUUAACGGGAUUUUUAGAAAAAAACGGUCUAUUGCAGGCAGAACAGUAUGGCUAUAGAAGAGGACAUUCAACUGAAUUGGCUUGCUUUGAUUUAGUUAAAUAUGUAUCUGAAAGCCUGAACAGCAAAAUACCAAUAUUGUCAAUAUUUUUAGACUUAAGUAAGGCCUUGAAUGCUAUGGGAUUAGAGGAGUUGCACUUGAUUGGAUAAAAAGCUACUUGUCACAAAGAAAACAAUGUACUGAAGUAGUAAAAACAGAAAAAGUAGGUAAGAGUUUUGUUAAAGCCAAAUAUCGUUCAGAUUUUCGUGAGGUACAACUAGGUGUUCCUCAAGGGAGCAACUUAGGUCCCCUAUUGUUUUUAGUAUACAUCAAUGAUCUACCACGGGCAAUCUCGCAUAAGUGUAUACUAUUUGCAGAUGACACAACUUUAUUAAUAAGGGGUGAGAAAGUUGAUACAUACGAGACUAUCGUAAAUAAUGCAUUGGUUGACAUUAACAAUUGGACAUGUAAAAAUAAUUUAAAUAUCAA